UACAUUUGAUAUGAAUUUGGUUCUAUUACAAUAGGCAAUUGUAUUGGAUUAAAAGGGAAUUAGGUGUAAAUCCUGAACUGUUCCCGCAGCUGUAAACUCUUUAUGGUUUUUACAUUCUUUGUCACUGUUUGCCUGAUGGCAGAUGGGAAGACGUAAAAACUGGAGUAAGUCAGAAGACCUGCCUCUUUCAAAAGAAUGUC
rnacentral:ncRNA from 1 species